CUACCAUGCAGUCGAACGGUAACAGAAAGCAGCUUGCUGCUUUGCUGACGAGUGGCGGACGGGUGAGUAAUGUCUGGGAAACUGCCUGAUGGAGGGGGAUAACUACUGGAAACGGUAGCUAAUACCGCAUAACGUCGCAAGACCAAAGAGGGGGACCUUCGGGCCUCUUGCCAUCGGAUGUGCCCAGAUGGGAUUAUCUUGUUGGUGGGGUAACGGCUCACCAAGGCGACGAUCCCUAGCUGGUCUGAGAGGAUGACCAGCCACACUGGAACUGAGACACGGUCCAGACUCCUACGGGAGGCAGCAGUGGGGAAUAUUGCACAAUGGGCGCAAGCCUGAUGCAGCCAUGCCGCGUGUAUGAAGAAGGCCUUCGGGUUGUAAAGUACUUUCAGCGGGGAGGAAGGGAGUAAAGUUAAUACCUUUGCUCAUUGACGUUACCCGCAGAAGAAGCACCGGCUAACUCCGUGCCAGCAGCCGCGGUAAUACGGAGGGUGCAAGCGUUAAUCGGAAUUACUGGGCGUAAAGCGCACGCAGGCGGUUUGUUAAGUCAGAUGUGAAAUCCCCGGGCUCAACCUGAGAACUGCAUCUGAUACUGGCAAGCUUGAGUCUCGUAGAGGGGGGUAGUAUUCCAGGUGUAGCGGUGAUAUGCGUAGAGAUCUGGAGGAAUACCGGUGGCGAAGGCGGCCCCCUGCACGAAGACUGACGCUCAGGUGCGAAAGCGUGGUGAGCAAACAGGAUUAGAUACCCUGACAGUCCACGACGUCAACGAUGUCGACUUCGAGGUGAUGCCCUUUGAGCGUGCCUGCGUUGCUACGCUGUUAAGUCGACGUCUGGGAGUAGUACGGCUCCGCCACUGUU
rnacentral:rRNA from 1 species